rnacentral:lncRNA from 10 species
GUCUCGAACUCGUGAACUCAAGCAAUUUGCCCUCCUUGGCCUCCCAAAGUGCUAGGAUUACAGGCAUGAGCCACCGUGCCCAGCCUCCCAUUUAAUUUGUGUACAUGGUAAAUAUAGUCAUUGAUUUUAAUAUGUUAAACCAAUAGUCCCUAACCUUUUUGGCACUGGGGACCAGUUUUGUGGAGGACAAGUUUUCCACAGAUGGGGUGGGUGGGGAGGGCAGGGAGGGAUGUUUUGGGAUGAAACUUUUUCACUUCAGAUCAUCAGGCGUUAGAUUCUCAUAAGGAGCAGCAACCUAUAUCCCUUGCAUGUGCAGUUCACACUAAGGUUCACGCUCCUAUGAGAAUAAUGCUGCUGCUGAUCUGACAGGAGGCAAAGCUCAGGUGAUAAUGCUUGCUGGCCCACAGCUCACCUUCUGCUGUACGGCUGGAGUGCAGUGGUGCGAUCUCGGCUCACUGCAGCCUCCGUCUCCUGGUUUCCACCGAUUCUCCUGCCGCAGCCUUCUGGGCAGUUGGGA